CCUCUCACCUGCUCUGUUCGGCCGGACUUUGCCCUUUACCAGCUUCCUCCACAGCUAACGGAGCCACACUUCCACUCCUUGUCAGCUGUUCAUCUUCCUCCUUGGAUUCAGACUCUGACAGGGGCGUGACA